rnacentral:rRNA from 1 species
UACGUAGGGGGCAAGCGUUGUCCGGAUUUAUUGGGCGUAAAGAGCGUGUAGGCGGUUAGGUAGGUCCGUUGUGAAAACUCGAGGCUCAACCUCGAGACGCCGAUGGAAACCAUCUAACUAGAGUCCGGAAGAGGAGAAUGGAAUUCCUGGUGUAGCGGUGAAAUGCGCAGAUAUCAGGAGGAACACCGGUGGCGAAGGCGGGUCUCUGGGCCGAAAUUGACGCUGAGGAGCGAAAGCGUGGGGAGCAAACAGG